rnacentral:rRNA from 1 species
GACGAACGCUGGCGGCGUGCUUAACACAUGCAAGUCGAGCGGAGCGGCUAACGGGUGAGUAACGCGUGAGUAACUGCCCCCCUCUCUGGGAUAACAGUUGGACACGGCUGCUCAUACCGGAUAGUGGGGGAUGACUCGCGUCCUAUCAGCUUUUUGGUGGGGUAGUGGCCUACCAAGGCGACGCCGGGUAGCCGGCCUGCGCGGGCGACCGGCCACAUUGGGCUGAGAUACGGCCCAAACGCCUACGGGAGGCAGCAGUGGGGAAUAUGGCACAAUGGGGGAAACCCUGAUGCAGAAACGCCGCGUGCGGGAUGACGGCCUUCGGGUUGUAAACCGCUUUCAGCAAUGACGCGGUAGUGGAAGAAGAAGCACCGGCUAACUACGUGCCAGCCGCCGCGGUAAUUC